GACGAACGCUGGCGGCGUGCCUAAUACAUGCAAGUCGAACGCUGCAGGAGGAGCUUGCUUCUCUGGAUGAGUUGCGAACGGGUGAGUAACGCGUAGGUAACCUGCCUGGUAGCGGGGGAUAACUAUUGGAAACGAUAGCUAAUACCGCAUAAUAGUAGAUGUUGCAUGACAUUUGCUUAAAAGGUGCAAUUGCAUCACUACCAGAUGGACCUGCGUUGUAUUAGCUAGUUGGUGAGGUAACGGCUCACCAAGGCAACGAUACAUAGCCGACCGGAGAGGGGGAUCGGCCACACUGGGACUGAGACACGGCCCAGACGCCUACGGGAGGCAGCAGUAGGGAAUCUUCAGCAAUGGACGGAAGUCUGACCGAGAAACGCCGCGUGAGUGAAGAAGGUUUUCGGAUCGUAAAGCUCUGUUGUAAGAGAAGAACGAGUGUGAGAGUGGAAAGUUCACACUGUGACGGUAUCUUACCAGAAAGGGACGGCUAACUACGUG
rnacentral:rRNA from 1 species